CAUUUCAUUCAGGAACGUUAAUUAAUCGCGUGAUGCGGAAGAAGAACCAAGCCGACCCCAAGCGUGGGCUAAUCUGCAAGCUGAAGCUGAUGAAUCAACCUGAAGACGGUUAAAUCAAGCAAGUGCUCGGUCGAAGGAUACUCGUCAAGCGGACGUCACCUAACAACACUAACCUAGUGUUACUCCGGGCAAGCCCCGGUGCAUGCAACCCCUUUCCUUGUGUUUUUAAAUACUUUUCGCACACUUAAGUCUAGUGAAAUGUGCAUUAGGUUCAUAGGAAGUGCUUGGAACCCUUUGAUGCAUUGCUUUCCUUGAUAUCCAUACCUUUAUAGAUACUUCUGUGAAGUAUCAAAAUAUGAUUUACAAAAAUGCUUAGCCUUGCUUAGAUCUUAUGGAUAGAGGUUAUCCUCAGUCUAACCCGGGAGAGGAUGGUUUCUACCUGCAAGAAUAUUUUCAUUUGGAGCAAUAGUGGGAUCUUACUGCAAAGUUCCCUGUGAUGCUCUUUCAUCCUAAGGAACAGACACAAUCCUAAGGAUGGAAAUACUUAAAUUGAGACUUGGGUUAGGAACAGGUGAUGUUCUACCCAGGUUGGUUAAGGAUUAAUGCGUAUGUAGGCGUGCUGACCGAGGACCCUUUAACUGGUCACAUGCCUCGUCAUGGGUAAGCCUUGCCUCGGGCAGACUAAGGCCAGAAUAAGAUAACACGAAAUGGGCGUGGAGCGGUGGCGAGAGUAGCGUGUACCCUCCGUGGCAAGAGGCUGGACGGUGGUGUAUCUGUGCUCUCGGUUUGCGUGAACCUGAUCUGGUCUUAAGAACCCCGGUGGCGGGUUGACAUAUGCAAGGGUUAAGUGCUACAUAUGUCGUGUGAUUGGAGAUCCUCAGCUGAGUAUAAUCGAUUCGGAUCGCCGUACCUUCGCGGUUAUGAAGACUUGGUCACUUUUCUACAACCUAAAGUCAGGAUGUGAACACUAUGGAUAAAAAUGAUGUUGUAUUGAUGAGAUGUUGAAAUUAGACUAGAUGCAAAUAGAGUCUAUUAAUACUUAAUAUGGCGUUAAAAGAUUGAAAGUAAGGACUCACUUUAGUAAGUUAUUUCUGCAAAAGUAUCUAAGUUGAUUCUUGCUAAAGCCUCUCCUUGAUUCCUAUUUAUCUAGCAUACCCUUGAGAGUCUUUUCCUUAGUCGGGUAAGACUUGCUGAGUAAUUCCAUACUCAGGGUUUUAUUCCCUGUUGUUUUUCAGGUUCUAACCUUGUGCUGUUGUGAUGGUGUUAAGUGCCGGUGGGCUCGGCCUUCUUAUAUAAGUAUACCCCGUCUUUAUCUUCUUAUUGAGGAUGAUCAUUUGAGCUAGCAUAUAUUUCAAACUUAUACUUUUGUAAUCACUCCGAUAAAAUAAUGUAAAAUUUUUGUAACCUGUAAAAUUUGGUAAUAAGAUUUCCGCUGCAAAAAUGUUGUGUGUGUGAUUUGUGUUACUUAAUCCCGCGGUUCUGGUUGUAAGUGGUUUAUCCGAUGUCCUUGGGGCAAUCGGACGGAUCCUGUUAAGUUAUUUGGUGCACAUGCAUAGUCGUCUGAGGUCUUUGAGACAAGGACAGGUGCAUGUGGGCCCAAUAACUUGGGAGGUUCUGCCACAGCUGGUAUCGGAGCUGGAUUAAGUAUAUACGGUCACAUACGUAUCUUCAAAACAAAAGUUUUGGUUUCGAAAAACCUAUUUUCGACUAAACACGUUGUUUGGCUUUGAAAAACAUUUUUGAAAAACUAUAAUGCUAGCGACAUCCUCUGUUAAGCCCUAAACUAAGGACUACCAGGUGGCUUAGUUCAAAACCACUAACCCACAACCGGGGAUAUUGCAUACAUGUGUAUUGUUAUUUUGAAACCAUUCCGUUUUGAAUGGAUCGACGCUCAGGUAAGGUGAGUUGUGAGAGCAUGACCGAACAACCGUCGGUCUAGGGGAGUGUUUAAAAGUGGCGUCCGAUUAUAUACAUGUUCCACAUAUGUAUAUAUGAAGGCUGCGAUGUGGAGUAAUUGCUUUUCCGGGAAUUCAGUACCCCAUGGAUGUGUAUGGGCAUACAAACAUGGGAAUACUGAGAAGUGUAAUGUACUUGUAACGACGCACCUACGCUCAGGUAAGAAGGUGAGCUACCAUAAUGGGUUGCCCUAUGGUUAAAGUGUGGCAACGGCGCCUAUGCGUGGCUCGGCGCUUAAUGAUGAGCUGGCCUCUAUAUAGAAAUAUAUGGAGUAUAAACUAUAACAAACUGUCAUGUGUGACUUGCAUCAUUGGGAAAUUGGGCUGUGAUGGAAUUUUCUGCAGGUACACUAACCUCGAAAACGUAUGUGUAGUGAACGACUAGCAAAAUACCGUGAGAGUCGUAAGUAUGCCACCGAUAUAGAACGUUACUGCCAUAGUAUGUUGGCAAUACUCGUGAGGAUGUAUAAGACGAGCAUGCAUCCUGAUUGUUGCAUCAUGUUUGUCACCUAUACACCCAAGAUGCUUCUCUCAUCUUUAUUCUAGUAACCAUUGAUUACAGUUAAUGUGGUAAAAUGCUGAAUUAUGAACUUCGAUGAAAUAGGUGUCCUCCAUUCUUUAGGUGACCUCUUAGGGUGCUUUAUGUGCUUGCCCUUGUGCUUGAUGUGUCGAUAGAAGGUUAGUGACUUGUUUGCUUAAAACCAAAAUUAGGUCAUGUUCUUAUUUGGUGAACCUAGACCCAAAUUUGAAUCUUCCAUUAUCACUCCAUGACUAAACCCAUGCAAAUAAAUGCGUAGAUAAUUUGUUUGUUGGACAUAAAUUGUGCCUAGGCUUAAACAAGAAUCUCGAGUCAUGUUUCCUUCUAAAACCAUUCCCUUGUUUAUUGGUGCAAGCUGAUGUACCUUAACUAGUUUGCCUGUUCUUAAGGAUCGCCAUGUUGAAUUAUCAACCCAACCUAGGAAAAGUAUGUCCGACCAUUUUCUUGAAUUUUAUGCCUUUGAUUUCCCCCAUACCUAUCGAAGGCCUACCAACUUAAUCUUAUGAUUGUUUUCCCUCUGUAUCUAAUCAUAUGUUGAUCCUUGACCUUGUGAUCUCUAUGAUGGGCAUAGAAAUAUGCUUGGGGCUGAAGUAACAGUCUCCCAUCAUACUCCUUUUAUCAAGUUUAGGUUAUGGCCAUGUCUUGUUCAUUUCCUUGGGCUAUAAUCUAUUUGGCUCUCUACUUGUAACCAUUCUUACAGGUGGAGUAUCUCCUUGUAUAUUGUCACCCUUGCCCAAUUCAUUUGUGUCGUGUGAGAUUUCUUAUUGGUUAUGUCUAAUAAUGGUGUUGUGAUUAAAACUGAUGGUGCCGCGACAAAAUCGAGGGCCUCCUGUGGAUGCAUACACAUGGUUGCGCUACUUGGCACGCGCUGGUAUCACAGUUAGUAGUCAUAAUCCAUUAUGAGACUAUAUCGAUAUGUUAUCUUUGCACAAAUUGUUCUUACCACGUGAGAUUCAUUAUUGGUGCCAGUUCGGUGAUGGUGUCAUGAUUAAUGACUUAUGGUGCCGCUGCGAAACUGAGAGCCCCUUGUGAAUGUACACGCAAGGUUAUGCUGCUUGGCGCAUGCUGGUAUCGAGGUCUCUAGUCAUGAUCCAUUAUGGAACUACUCUGAUGUGUUAUCUUCCGUGGACUCCUCCCUUGAAACAAUUUCUAUGUUGUUUGUCGAGUGAUCAAGCAACAUUUAUCAUCUAUAUUGGAUCAAAAGGGCAUCCCACUUUCAUAUGUGGUCUCUUUUCUUUUAAUCUUGGUGGUGACUACUCAUACAAGUUCCUUUUACGUCCUUUGUGUAAAGGUGAAGCCUUGGAGCUUUUUAGUGUUGGAAAACAGCUAAUUAGCUCUCAAAAUAGAGAUAUGUUUCCCCUGCUGCUGAGAUGCAAAAGUUUGUUCAUUCGACCUCUUAAUUAAUCCAUGUAUUCCCUAACCAAGUAAAUAAUAUCGUAUGGAGAAACGGAUGAACAACCGGACCAAAUGGACUUCUGCCCAAGUGCAUGAUCAACUAUUAGUAUGAGUGAACUCUCGACCGUUGGCUUACCGAUGGUACCGAGAGGAUCUGCUCAAUGUCAAAAGUAGUUCAACAAGUUGGUUUUACUAACUUGUAACUGCCUGGUGAACGAAGGUUGAGUUUAGAGAUCGUUUUAUCGAGUUGUCUAAGCUCACUUUUGUACAACCCCUCUUAAGGAAGAACUUUCAAGAAUCGAGAUUAAGUCGGUCAAUAACCACCUAACCAUCGCUCUAGUCGUGCCUCGAUUGCCUCACGUAUGCUUUUCCAGCAUAAGUGAUUGGGUCGAGCCAUGUCUAGUGCCCGAUAAAAUGGACUAGUUGCAAAGUCCGCAUCUACAGAUCCCUCCGCUAGUGAUUCUCUCGAAUCUAUACCAUCUUUUGUGGACUUGAAUUCUCGGGUUAGCCACAUGUUAACCGUGAUAGUAUUCAACAUCCACACUCGUCUCAUGUGCUACGAACAUAUCAUGACCACUUGUUGGUAAACCUCUUUCUGUAGGUUUUACCCAAGAUGGUGCAUCUGGUUCUGUUUGGGUAAAAUCGCGUAUUUGCCGCUCGCUCAACAGACUCAGAUAGUACAGUGUCAUCAGAGAAAGCAAACUGCACACAUGGAACCUUAUUUGUUCCUUUGGCAGACAGCGUCUCUAUUGGUGGACAUUUCUAAAUUAGCCUAAGGCGAUACAUGUUAUGUCCACUAGAGAAGCAACAUCCUGAGACACUCGCCCUUGUUUGGAAAUGUCUCACGACCGCUGAUAUGGACAUGUGAAUAUGCUUCUCUACCCUUAGAAGUCUUUCGUUCUGAAUCUCGGGACGAGAUUCUUUUAAGGGGGGAGGGCUGUAACACCCCAGGUGUUUAUAUUCCGCUCGACAACGAGUAUGGAUUUAAGCACGUGAUCAGUGGAUAAAACAGAUGCUUAAUUUUAAUCAUCUUCGCCUAUCGCGAUUUUAAUAUGGCAUCUGUUCCGCUUGUCGCAAGCGCGACAUCAUUUUUAUUUCUAUUUAUUCGGGCCCUUCCUGAGUUUUCGUGCUGUUCAGAACAUAUUUGUUCUGAAAAUCGGUGCGUCCGGUGAUUAUUUAAAAUACAUCGCUCGCGCAAAUACGAAUUCGGAAGCCCGACUCACUCGGGUGAUUUUUAUCUCGGACCAAUUAAUUUGAACUCGACGACAAAAAUGUUCGGAGUAAAAUAAUCCGAAUCGCGCAUCCUCCGAGAAAAAUCAUGCGCGAGAUUAUGAUCCCAUUCGUUCCUCAGCAAGUUGUUGUGGUGAUGAAAUCACGUAUACGUUCGCAGAUAUAGUUUCGGCUAAUUUCGAUCUGUCGUUUCUCGUCCGGAUCCAAAUCUUCGGAUAUUAACUAGUAAAAUUCAUCUAAACUUCAGGGUAUCCGCUAAAUUAAAUUCUAUCCAAAUUUUAUAUCAAAUCCUGUCCAAUUGUUGCUGUUAAUCCUAAUUAUUCGACCUUUUGAUUAUUGCUAAAAAUCCCGAUCCGAAAUAUUUGUGAUCUCUGUUAAAAAAAAGAGAAGAAAGACAUUAAAGAAAAGAAAAGGAAAUAUCCAUCUUCUCCACGUUGUUUGCUGGGUUUUUUUUUUCCUCAACCUUAUCAAUACGGCAGCUACAGAUAUUCAUCUCUCCAGCCGUGAUAUUUUCUACCGUGAGCUCAUAUUCUCCUUCCCAAUUUUUUUUUCUCCCGCUGCUCAACGCUUGGAUAUUUCAAGCCGCCCGUGGGUCUUAUCUUUUUCACGGUGCAUGGCUUUAUCUCCUGCCGCCGCCUGCUCUGAUAUUUCUUUCAGCCGCCUGGACAGGCUUCAUCUUCCUCUCGCACGCGAUGUGCUCAUCUCCCUCCUAUCCUCUGCUCCCCAGCUCCGAUCCAGCGCUCUGGGCUGUGCUCCCUCUCUCCUCCAUGCGUGAGGUGCCAGCGGACUGACCUUCCCCAUGCAGCUCCUUCCUCUCGCUCCCGCUCCAGCUUCUCUACGCUGCCGCCGUUCCCUCGCGCAGCGUCGUCCUAGACCCGGCUGGGCGCGCUCGGGUCUUGUUGGCGCGGCGGCGGCGACCCCUGUGGCCGCAGCUCACUCCCGGUGCUUCUCUCCCUGCUUCAAUUUUUUUCCAGCCAUGGUGCUCGCGCCGGCGUCCUCGACUCCUCAGUCUGGCGCGCUGUUUUUUUUUCCAUGUCCCUGUGCGCGAGCUGAUUCAGCUUGUCGGUCAUCCACUGCUCCUCGGCGCUCCUUGCUCGGCCUCCGACGGCUGUCGUCCCUCGCCACGCCCUGGCCGCAUCGCUGGCUCCCCUCGGUUCCAGCCAUCAGUUGCCGCGGCAUCCUCUCAGUUCUCGGUCAGGGAAUUCGCGCGCCCUCAAGCGUCAGCCGCGUCGACCUCCCUGCUCGCUGUUCUCCAGCUCGCUCUGGCCGCGGACACCGUCGAGUCGUCGAACCCCGUCCUCCUCUGCUCGACUCCCAAGCAGGCUCCCUGAUCCACAUCCUUCUCGCCGUCGAUUUCCCACGCCUGUGGCCACGGCACUCGCUCCUCGGAUCCUUGUCGUCGAUCUUCAGUCCUCGUCAGUUGCUAACGUGCAGCACGCCUCGCUCUCGUGCUCGCCGUCGUUUGGUCAUGAGAUGUUCGUCCCUGCGCGCUCACUAUGUCGUCGCACGCCAAGUCGAUUCUGCCUCGUGGUGCUCGCCAAAUGUUCGAUGGAACGUCUAAUCUGAUAAUUGUUGCCAAUUCUGGGGAUUUUCGAGUUUAUUUGAUCGCGGUAAGCACUCGUCGUUUAUAUUCUAUUUGUUUUACCUCAAAAUUAAUUAUGGUCAGUUAAAAAUGGGUUAAUGCUUGUUAGAUUAAUAAAUAGCUUGGGCAAAUAUUUUUAGUCGUGAUGAAUCUUGUGUUUGGUCAUGAUGCUUUGUGUGGUAUUUCGGCGGUGUGUAGGAUAAAUUUAGUGUUUAAGCAAUUAUCGAUAAGUUAAGUGUGUAUAAAUUGGCUCGUCAUUCGCGAAGAAUGGUCAAGUUAAUAAUAUGAGAAAAAUAGAUUUAGUAUUUCAUAUGAUCAAUUAAAUGCCCUAGAUAAAUAUCUAGCACUACCGAAAUGAGUGAAAGCGAAUAAUAUCGAUAAGUUUGUUUCUAUUAGGAUUCAAUCCAGCUAAGUUAAAAAUAAUGUAGAUGAUGAGUCGUAUUUAGGCUAAUUAUGUUUAAAGUGUAUAAUUUGUUUGCAAUGUUUGUGUUAGGUUCGUUUAAUUUAGAAAAGUGUAAUUAUUGCGCGUAGUCGUAUAUUAAUAACUAGUGUUUUCGUGUACGAUUGUACAACGCCUCGCUGCUAGGUGUUUUAUUCGCUAUCGCGUAGCAUUAUUUAGGUUUGUAAUAUUUCCGUCGAUAUGCAUUCAUGUGCAUAAUGCAUUUCAUUCAGGAACGUUAAUUAAUCGCGUGAUGCGGAAGAAGAACCAAGCCGACCCCAAGCGUGGGCUAAUCUGCAAGCUGAAGCUGAUGAAUCAACCUGAAGACGGUUAAAUCAAGCAAGUGCUCGGUCGAAGGAUACUCGUCAAGCGGACGUCACCUAACAACACUAACCUAGUGUUACUCCAGGCAAGCCCCGG
rnacentral:lncRNA from 1 species